GACGAACGCUGGCGGCGUGCUUAACACAUGCAAGUAGAACGGUAAGGCCCUGCUUUUGUGGGCUGCUCGAGUGGCGAACGGGUGAGUAACACGUGAGUAACCUGCCCGUUACUUUGGGAUAACUUCAGGAAACUAGAGCUAAUACCGCAUAGGAGCUCCUGCUGCAUGGUGGGGGUUGAAAAGGUGCGGCGGUUUGGGUUGGACGCGCGGCUUCUCAGCUUGUGGGUGGGGUAGUGGCAUCCCAAGGCUUUGACGGGUAGCCGGCCUGGGAGGGUGACCGGGCACAGUGUGACUGAGGUACGGGCAAGAGUGCUACGUGAGGCAGCAGUGGGGGAUAUUGCACACUGGGCCGAGGCCGUAUGCAGCAUCGUCGGGUGCUGGAGGACUGCCGUCGGGGUGGAAACCGUGUGCGCCUGUGACGUUGCGUGAGUGACGGUAACUGAUCAGGAAGAACCGGCUAACUACGUG
rnacentral:rRNA from 1 species